UUAACACAAUUAUUAUUUUAUUAUUAAAAAUCAAAUCCAGUAACAUAUAAUCAACUUUGAUAACUUGGUAUAAUAACUGAAGACAUAUUACUCAACUAUAGAACCAGACUACACUGCCCACUUCCCAAUCCCCUAACAAAAAAAUACCUUCUAAAAUGAGUUCGCAAUCUAACAAAACUUACAACCCCACCCACAAACAGUGGUCAUGUUAGUAGCAAACCAGGGCCCUAGUCAAAGCCUGAAGAAGAGGACUAGUCGACAGACAUCAUACAUCUUCCUCGUAAUUCUAGCGGCAACGGGUUUGAAAGUAUGAAACGAUAGUUGUCCACUAAAAAGAACACAUCACUAAAAUGAACAAACAUUACAACCUACUCAGCAGAUAUCACAAACGAACGAUGCUCACAAUUCCAUGCUCUUACAGGUUUGGCACGAUCGAGAAUCCAAAGCCUAAGCUGUACAAAUUUGAACAUCAUCCCAUUACAAAGCAAGAACAAUACAACAAUUCCCCAUCAGUUUAGAUUUGCUACAAUUGUGGAAAAAAUCCGCCACUGACGAAACACAGAGAACAGGUGGGGAACCAUCAACCACGCACAAUACACAAAUCAAGAUCCAAUAGAAAUUGAGAGGAAUCAAAUCUAAUUCCAACAGACAGAAAUGUUCCCACUUCCCAGCACUAAAGAGAACAGUUUAGGAAUGAUCUCACUUUUCUUGUAACUUUCUCUUCCCUGUAAACAAACCAACAAAGUUGAAACAGAAUCCAAUGCAAAUUUAUAAUCGUUGAACAAAUCUACAAAUCUUUCAUUGCUUAGCCAUCAUCCCAGGCAGGGGUUUCUGACAAUUCAGAUUUUAACCACAACAAUCCUGCUGGCAGUUUCUGCACAUUACAGUAAUCGCCAUUACUUUUCAUGACUGAUCAUCAGAUCUUGACCGAGUCAAACGCCGGCGUCUUCUUGGGAUUGGAGAAGCAUCUUCACCAGCAUUGCUCAAUACAUGCAAAUCAUCAUCAUCAUCAUCCUGUAGACCCAAUAGAUUCUCACCCCACAGGAAUCGAUGCUCAGGUAAUGCUCCAGAUGCUCGGCGGUGCCUUGUCCAAGCUCUUGGCUGAGCCCUUGGUUCACCUACACCAUCGACAGAGCCAAUCAUCUGAUACAAGAAGAAAGUAGUCCACCAUGGGGCAUUGACUUCACCUGUCCCACCUUCCCUUUCAACUGAAAACCUAUCACCAUUCUCGAUUACAUAGUCCCCAACUACAACAGCGCCUGGCAUGGCUGAACGAAUGGCACUGACAAUGUCACCAUAUUCCCUCUGCCGCUCAAGGCAUCUCCAAGCUCGUUCUCUGGAUGAAUCAACAUCAGAGGGUCGAGUUGUAGGGUGAAUCCUCCUAGCAUGUCUACGCAAUUCUUGGUAGUUUCCAACAAAUGAGCAUGAUUCUCUAGAGCAACUCCGCUUCUUCAAGUUUAGAUAUUUUCUUGCCUCAUCUACAACUUCCCACCCUAGUACAGCUCCACGGCAUAAAGGACAUUUCAAACUCAACCCAGACUCUGAUGAGUUCUCAGUGUCAGCCUCUUCAAGUUCAAUCCUAUCACGAAAUGACUCAGAAUCACCUGCUUGCAAAAUGCCUUCUCGUGUUUCUAACUGCCUAUUAGAAUCUUGGAUAUUGUUUUCUACAAGCCCCUCAGGCAUUCCAGAGGAGUUUACAUCAUUGCUUUCAUUUAGGUUCAGAUUUUCAUUAGCAUCAAGCCCAUAUGUUCUCAAAGGCAAGCUUGUUUCAGAAGUAUUACCAGAACUGGAUGAGUUGAUAGGUAAAGAACUGGAUAAGGUUGUAUCGCUCCUAGGAUUGUCCCUUAACUUUUUAAAGCGGUCCAGGCAAUUCGAAUGCCUAUAACUUGUAUCACAAAUGUAAGAUCUGCAGCCCUUGUCAUACGAGCUGCACAGGAGGAGAACAGCAUUAUGUGGAUGGUCCAUGCAAAUUGGACAUGAGACCUCAUCUAAUUCUUUGUGAAGGGCAUGGGUAUCUGAAUCAGAAUAAAGUCUUCGUUUCACACCAGCCAUCUUGAAAUCACUGUAAUAAGUUACUCAACAUGGGAACUUAUUAGAAUACCAGUAGUAUUCAACAUGGUUCACUGUUAAUAGAAGAACAGCAUUACUGCUGUCAAUAAUGUUCAGUGCCAAUCAAUGAACCCAUAACCAAACAUUAUUGGCAGUAAGAGUCAGCACUUUGAAAGUUUGAUCACAGUAAUUAAAGGGAGUAUCAUACAAGUCUUGAUGAGUUUGAAACAUUGAUGGCAACAGUAUAUAUUCAUAAGAUUCAAGAGAACAAUUAAUACAGUAAUGGUGCUAGAUCAAGAUCAGUCAAAAUAAUGUGGACUUCUACCAUCAGGUAUUGAGAAAAACCAAGGGGCGACCAAUGUCAAUAGACAAUUAGACAUCGUAACGAACUAACAAUAAUAUCUUAAUUCGAUGGUUCAAAGGCUAAACCAGCACAUCAAGACCAUAUAUGUAUCUUAAACCUCGAGAGAAGUCCAUCCCACCACAUUCAAGUACCUUUCUAGCAAACCACCAAACAAAAUAAAAUACGACUAAAAUACAUUUUUCUUCAGUAGAAAACCCAGCACUGCAGUGCUAUUGAUUAAAACAACAAUUCAGAAGAAGAUAAUAUUCAACAUGAUAAUUUGCAAUGGUAGACACAACUUAUUCUCACCAUAUUGACCAAACUUCUAUUUGACCUUCUGUUCCUUUGUGGCACCAUCAGCACCAGUACAUUCACCAUUCUUAAUGGCACAGCUGGAACAUCCCAAUAUGACAUCUCUUACCUUUCUUAUUUCGAGUCUCUUAACUUCACAGAAAUGUUAGAAACACACAUAUUUCUUAGGCUAUCCUAUUAUGCCCAUCCAUCUCUUCCAACCUCUUCACUUCACCUAUAAAUCUUCAUGGCUACCCAAAACAUUCAAACACAAAUAAAUAAACAAAUAAAUGAAACUC
rnacentral:misc_RNA from 1 species